CUGCAGUAUUUUUCCGUUUGUCUCUGAUGACAAACCGACUGCCAGGAAUGAUUUUUCAUCUAAUAGAAUUGUGAAAAACACCUUGAGGAUUGAUUCUAAACAACGUUUGCCAUGUUUCUGUCAAUAUUAUGGAGCUAAUUUGGAAAAAAGUUUGGCGUUGUAAGUGACUGCAUUUUCGUUUUUUUUUUCCUUAGCCAAACGUGAUGAACAAAACGGAGCUAUUUCUCUUACACAAAUAAUCUUUUUGGAAAAAAUGAACAUUUGCUAUGUAUCUGAGAGUCUCGUCAUUGAAAACAUCCAAAGUUCUUCAAAGACCAGGCUCCCAGAACGUUAAGGCAGACGCACUGUCCCGGCUGUAUGACACAGAGGAGCGGUCCAUGGAUCCCACUCCCAUACUCCCAGCUUCUUGUUUGGUGGCACCGGUAGUGAGGGAGCUGGACGCGGACAUUGAGCGGGUGUCACGUGCAGAGCCCUCACCCCCUCAGUGUCCAGCUGGACGUCUGUACGUUCUGUUUGCUGUCCGCAACCAACUGAUCUAUUGGGCCCAAACGUCACCCUCGUCUGGUCAUCCUGGGAUAGGUCGGACGGUGUGCUGUCUUGAUGGGAGGUACUGGUGGCCCACUUUAGCUAAGGACGUGAGGAUUUAUGUUUCCUCCUGCUCAGUGUGCGCCCAGUGCAAGGUCCUAGACACCUGCCCAGAGGGUAUCAGACGGUUCUGGCUCCUUGGCAUCAGAGUCAGACCAAGGCUCCUGCGGUGGACAAUUGGGUCCGGCGCGUGGAGGAAACCUGGGAGGCCGCCCACGUCCAUCACCGCAGUGAGGCCCCGGUGUUGGCACCAGGGGACAGGGCUGGCUCUUGACCCAAAACCUGCCCCUCCGCCUGCCCUUCCGGAAGCUGGGUCCGCGGCCGGUGGUGGCUGGCCCACUCCAGGAGGCUGAAGUGCGGGAUGUUCCUCCGCCGCCUCUGGACAUUGAGGUGGUCCCGGCGUACUCCAUUCGAUCCAUCUUGGAUUCGAGACGUCGGGCGAGGGGCCUUCAGUACCUCGUGGACUGGGAGGGGUACAGUCCGGAGGAGAGAUGCUGUGUUCCGGUGGAGGACGUGUUAGAUCCUUCCAUGCUGCGAGAAUUCCACCAUCUCCAUCCGGAUCGCUCUGCGCCUCACCCUACGGGACGCCCCCGAGGCCGGCGUC
ensembl:lncRNA